ACCUCAGCCUCCCAAAGUGCUGGGAUUACAGGCAUGAGGCACCACAUUCGGCCAAAGUUCUAUGUCUGGUCACAGCCAUUUACAUUCAUCAGAAUUCACAGAACCAUCCAUCCUGAAGUGGUGAAUUUGCUGAAUAGAAAUUAUACCUCAAAGACCAGACGUUCAAAAAUGCCUUUGUGUUUUGUAAGCUUCAACACUCGCCCAGUGGGAACCACAAAAGCGUUGCCCAAUUUGUUGAAAGCAUUGCUGUUAUAACUUCAGCGUGUGGGGAGAAGUUAUGUUUUCAUACUGUCUUUGUCUGCUCUGGCCACCGUUACAAAACACCAUAGACUGGGUGGACUGAUCAACACGCAUUUCUUUCCCACAGUGGAGGCUGGAAGUCCCCAAGACCCAGGUUCCUGGGGAGGGCUUUCUUCCUAGCCUGCAGGUGACCAACAUCUGCUGUGUCCUCUUGUGACUCUUCCUCAGUUCCUGUGCCAGAGGGGUCGGGGGACAAGUGGGCGUCCAUCUUGUAAGUGUCCUCAUAAGGCCACCAUCCUGUCAACCAGGGCACCACCCUAUACCUUAGUUAACCUUAAUGACUUCCUUGGUGGCCCCCCGUCCCGUUGCAGCCAGGGUUAAGCUUCAGCGUGCAAAGUGAAAGGCCACACAAAUCUUUGUCCGUAACAAAUGCCCCGUGGACAGGACACUCCGGUGCCCUGAGGCUGCAGGAGCUGAGGGUGAUCUUGCUCAGGUACUUCUGGUGGUACCUGCUGUAUGGGGAAGAAGUCUGUUCCUCCUGGCUGGUGUCAGAAGUAACCAGGCUGAAGCCAUGCUCUGAAAGAACCUGUGCAGGGAGAGAAAGACCUGUUUGAGACCGACCUGAAAGCUCUCGCAGGGGAAAGAACAGGGGGUUCCAAUGAUUCCUGUAGUUCACUGAGCUCUUGUAAAGAAGCAACCGUUUUUCCUGACCUUGACACUCAAGCAUUUUUGAUGGUUCUAGAAGUACCCAUUUUCAGGUAUUAAAUACCUUUCUGUUUGAGAUACAUGAUUGUUUUCUAUUUUCCUGAAAGAAUCCUGACUGAUACAGUAUUUGGUACUGAGAGUGGUUCCAGGAAAUACAGCUGCAAAGAUGGAGGGAAGUCUAAGAUGUGUUGUUAGGCUUGGAUUAGCUUGAAGCCAAUAAUGACCUCCUGGCUAGUGGAAAAUGGGUUUCUGGUAGUCCAUGACAUGCAAUGUCUUAAGUUAUGGCCUGUCAUUCAUGGAAUCAAUUGCCUGUUAAAAGACACCAAGCACCUUUUUGAUAGAAUACUCUGGUGGAAGAGAUAAGUACAAGGGUUAAAGUUACUGAAUGCAAUGGAAAAUUUACAGAAAAAAUACAGCACAAAAUACCCCAACAAUCUCAGGGCUUUAAAAUUUCAACUCAGAGGCAUAAUUCAAAAGCAUUGGAGAAGCAUCAAAGAAGCUUCUACAACUGCCCCUGAAAGAAUCUCUUAUCGUAGCAGAAAUUGAACCCAGGGUUGUUCCUACAAGUUGGCAGAAUUACAACCUAACUUGAAUUCACAGCCUCUUUAGGUGCUUCCAUGAAAGGUGAUUAAUGGGGAAGGACU
rnacentral:lncRNA from 10 species